rnacentral:rRNA from 1 species
CCUACGGGUGGCUGCAGUGAUGAAUAUUGGUCAAUGGACGAGAGUCUGAACCAGCCAAGUAGCGUGAAGGAUGACUGCCCUAUGGGUUGUAAACUUCUUUUAUAUGGGAAUAAAAUGUUCCACGUGUGGGAUUUUGUAUGUACCAUAUGAAUACGGAUCGGCUAACUCCGUACCAGCAGCCGCGGUAAUACGGAGGAUCCGAACGUUAUCCGGAUUUCUUGGGUUUAAAGGGAGCGUAGGUGGAUUGUUAAGUCAGUUGUGAAAGUUUGCGGCUCAACCGUAAAAUUGCAGUUGAAACUGGCAGUCUUGAGUACAGUAGAGGUGGGCGGAAGUCGUGGUGUAGCGGUGAAAUGCUUAGAUAUCACGAAGAACUCCGAGUGCGAAGGCAGUUCACUGGACUGCAACUGACACUGAGGCUCGAAAGUGUGGGUAUCAAACAGGAUUAGAUACCCGGGUAGUC